GCCCAGAUGCAGCUUGGAUGCAGAGCUUUGCCUGUAGUAGAUCUUCAUAGAUUUUAGCUGAUUCGUGCCAAACUUCGCUCUACACAUAAAUAAUAUCGAUUGAGAAGUCUUUUGGCUAUUUAUUUGUUUCGAAGACUUAAUUGCAUAUUUCAUUAAAGAAUAUCUCGCCACUCCUUGACGAGUAGCUGUCAAAUACUGCCAUUUUUUGACGUCACGUGACCGGCCCG